UACGGAGGGGGCUAGCGUUGUUCGGAAUUACUGGGCGUAAAGCGCACGUAGGCGGCUUUGCAAGUCAGAGGUGAAAGCCCGGGGCUCAACCCCGGAAUUGCCUUUGAGACUGCAUCGCUAGAAUUGUGGAGAGGUAAGUGGAAUUCCGAGUGUAGAGGUGAAAUUCGUAGAUAUUCGGCGGAACACCAGUGGCGAAGGCGACUCACUGGCCCGAUACUGACGCUGAGGCGCGAAAGCGUGGGGAGCAAACAGG
rnacentral:rRNA from 1 species